UGACAGUGAAGAGUGUAUCCGCUCCUACACAGGCACGAGCUCGUCGUUAUCGACCACACACGUAAGCGGCAUUGUGAUACCGCGGGACGUGCUUUUGUGGGUGCGCGUGCGUUUUUUUUUUCGGCUUCAGUGCUCUUGCACAUCGAGCUUGCGCUACGCCCUCACUCGCUUGCUUGCCACUGCACCCGAAACGGACGAAGCGAAGCAGUCGACACGCGGGCAGCUGCACAGCGCCUGGCCGCUGGCCGCAGCUCUUUUGUCACCAGAGACCCGUCUGCUGGUUCGCAUCAUUUCCACAACCUCUUUAGCUAACAGUCGCCAUGGCCCGAGCACGAGCCAUCGAGACCAGACUGGAGAAGCUGGUGCCCGCCCUCGAUGAGUAUUACACGAGCGGCUUCCUCACGCGCGAAGAGACGGUCGAGGUGUCACGGCAGCGUCAGCACUGGGAGUUCCGUCUCGUUGCCAAGCCUCUCCUCCUCCUCGAUGUGCGCGGGGCCAUCAAGUACGAGCUGGGGCUCGAGAAGCGCCUCCGGGAGUACUGCAUCUACACGAAGCUCAACCUGCAGCACCGCUGGGACAUCGUUGACCGCAUCGAGGGCAUCUACAAGAUCGGCCUCAAGCACCUGCGCAGCAAAGCAGAGCACGAGGCACUGCGGCAGGAGUGCGUGCUGUUUAUGAAGCAGUUCCAGCGCAAUGGCAGCCUCAGCAACCUCUACGGUGAGCUCAUGGUGAUGCACCCCCGGCGCAGUGACAUCUGGGUAGAGGCGGCGGAAUGGCAGGGGUUCUCGCAGCGCAACAUAGACAACGCCCGCGCAAUCAUCCAGCAGGCGCUGCUGACCAUGUCGUCAGAACCCGUGGUGUGGGCCUGCGCGUUGCGUGUGGAGCUAAAGUUUGUGCAGCGUCUCCUCGAAGGGCUGCUGGCCGAGCACCGCGAGGAGGUGCGUAAGGCGCGCAAGCGCGCGGCGAAGGCGGCUGAGGACGGUGACGAAGAGAACCGUGCCGACGAUGCCGUGGCGGCAGCUGAAGAGGAGGAGGCCACGUCAGCGAUAGCGCCGAAGCUGCGGGCCGAAAACGAGGACAUGGCCCACGUGCUGCUCGACCUUGCUUUAGCCAAGACAGUUGUGGAGGAGGCAUUUCGCAGCCCUGCCAGUGGGGCGGUGCUGCUGGAGCAGCUGCUGGCGGUCGCUGGCGCCUACGCCUUCGCGCGCGAGGUUGUGGAGCUUGCGGUGACGACGGCGGCUCGCAAGAUGGCCGAAGCCUGCAGCGGGUCCGCUGACGUGACAGUGGAGGCGGCGCGCGUCUGUGGCGCUCGCGGCGCGUCGGCCUCGUCCUCCCUCACCAUUGCAUCCGACCAGCAGCGGCUCCGUGUGCGCACGCAGUGGCGUCACCGACACAGCAUUGACACUGUCUUUGCGCACUAUCUCGCCCUGGAGGAUCUGAUCAUGAACCGGUACACGACGGCCAUAGUAGACACCACCACCUACCUCGCCAGCGGCGGCAGCGGAGGCGUCUUGUCCUCGAAGCGGCGAGACCAGCAGGGGCAGCAGCAGCAGCAGCAGCCGACUGUCGGCGCCUCACUCCUGGCCCCGUCACGGGAGGACCGCCGUCGUGCUGCUGUCAAGGCAGUCGUUUCACUGAUGGCGUUUUCGUUCACGCCGACGUCGGCGCUGUCGGAGUUGCCCGGCAUCGUGGCAGCUGACACAGACUCGACAAAACGCUUUCCGGCUGUGCGGCACGCCUUUGCAGAGGCCCUGCGUCGCGUCGCCGCCUUGUCGGCUGAGGGGGUGUCGCGGGUGUGCACGCAUCUGCUGCGAACCCCGCCAACUGCUGCUGCCGGCUCCGCAGCGUCGACGACGACAACCAAUAAAAGCAAGAGGAAAGCCGCGCGGCAGACAAACACAACACUGGAUAUCGUGGCGGCGGUCCAGUGGCUCCUGGGGCAGCCACAGCUCGACAAGGCAACCCUACAAGACUGCGUCACAGAGCCGCGGGAGCGCACGGAGAGGCUGCUGAGAGAGGUGGCUUCGGCGGCUGACAUGCAUCCGCCUGCCAAGUCGCGCGCUAGACACGAGGCCCCCGUCGGCACCGCCGGUGCUACGGCGCUUAUGACGUGGUCGAUAGUGCAGCUGGAGCAAUUCUUGCAGUCGGAGGACAGGGAUGCGCUGGUGCAAGGCGCCGGUGGCGGUUUCGGGGGCUCUGCCAGCGCGCCGCCGUACACGCCGCUCAAGACCGCCACCGCGAUGACCACGGAGGGCGUGGAGCGCUUCAUCGUGUGGUGGAAGGAGGAGGAGGCGCUGCUGCGUGGACAGCAGGAAGAGGGGGGUGACUCGGGCGACGCACUGGCUGCUUCGCGAACGCGCCGUCGCCUGGCGGUGAUGAAGCUACUACACCAGCACGGCCUCCUGCCUUCUGUGGACAUGCCCGCUUCUGCGGAGAAGAGCAGCGGCAGUAAGAAGGUGCCGAAGAGUGGCAGCAGCGACGCUGCGAGUGAAGAUGCGUGGGCCAAGACGCAAGACGUGCUGCUGAAUCGAUCCAGCGCACUGCAGUUUGUCCAAGUCGCGGGUACAACUGCACCAGCGCGGCUCCCGCUCUCUCUUUGGCGCGUUUUUAGCGCCUUGGAGAAGUUGGAGGGCCCGACACAGAUGAGGGAGAAGGCUCCCUCGGCUCACGCGGCGGUCUCGCGCAGUGGCCGCAGCGACAGUGACAGCGACGACGAUGGCGACGGUGAGACCAGCGGUAGCGGCGUAGCGGCGGGGUGCAAGUAUGCGGAGGCGUCGUCUUCCAGCACGCGGCUUUCGAGCUUCGCCGCAGCUGGGCUGCUCUUUUUGAGUGGGGUGCCGCACAGCGCGCUCAGCCGCGAAGAGGAGUGGGCGCGGCUGGAGGGAGUAACCUCGCUGCUGCGGUGCCGGCUGUUCUCCUGGCUGGGACGUCGAGUGUGCACCCGUGACACCGUUGCCGAGACACUGCAGCGCGCCGAGAGCGACCUCGCAGAGGCUUGGAUCGUCGACGUGCAAGGGCUGCUGACGCUGGCGCAGCGGUGCCAGCCGCUACCCCGUUUCGCGCAGACGCAUUGCGUGCUUCCAUUUUUGGAGGGCGUUGCACUUUUUCGCUCUGCCUGCGCACCUGCGACACCUCUAUCUGCUCGGGCAGGCAACGUGUCUCCGCCCGACAAGGUCGCCCGCGAUGCUGUGCAGGCGGCGCGAGAGGCGUAUGAGGCGCUGCUACAGCUGUACGACGUCUCCAAGCACCCCGAGUCUUUUCUCCCGCUUCUGUACGACGGUACAUCGGCCAAGAAGCUCGCACAGCAGGCAGGGACCACGUCGAGCGUGUGCUUCAAGGCGUCGACAGCGGAGGUGCAGCGGGCCAACGCCGAGGACUGGGUGGCGUACGUGCUGUUCGAGCGCACGGUAUCCAAAGACUUGCUGAGGGCCAAGACGGUUGUAGAGCAGGCACGUCGGGCCUCUCUGGCACCGCAGAUCUUCAUGGUGAUGCUGAACGCGCUGUAGCAAGGUGGAAGGACGAGAGAGAGAGCAACGGCGAAGCUGUGCCUUGCCGCUCCCCUGCUUUAGUCCCUUUCACUCCACUUCUCGGUCACUGGUUAGGGUGUCUCCUCCCGGCAGCGAACUCCCCUGUGGUCCACCACUCUUGUGGAGGUGCAUGAUGUUAACCGGGUGCCACACACGCUGAGGAGGGCCCAUUUGCUGUGUGUGAAUCUCGCUAAGUGCAAGACGCCUCGUUCAUGCGAAUGACGACAACAGCUUUUUUUCUUGUUUCUCGAAUAAGCGUGCCUGUGUAGGCCUGUAUGUGUGCCCCUCACCGAAAUACGUGCGCACCGAUGAGUUCCCCACACAGUUGCUCAGUGAGCGAGUUGAUAAAGCGCGUGUAACCUCUCACACACACACACACCGACGGGUGAGUUGUCUAACAUCAAUGCAGGAAAAGGAAAUCUAUUGGGCACACAGCUACGCAGGCAUACAAUCGUCGAGGGCCGCGCGAGAGAGUCGGGCUGGAUUCGAUUGGCG
rnacentral:misc_RNA from 1 species